CUACGGGCCGCUCCAGUUAGGAAUAAUUUACAAUGCACGCAAGUGUGAUAAUUUGAGUCAGAGUGCGUUUCAUUUGAAACGCUUUUGUGGAAUGCAAAAAGUUCCACGAAUAAGGACUGGGUAAGACUAGUGCCAGCCGCCGCGGUAAUACUAGCGGUCCAAGUCGCAGCCAUUUUUAUUGGGUCUAAAACAUCCGUAGCUUGUUUGAUAAGUUUCUUGUGAAAUUUUGUAUCUUAAGUACAGAGCGUGCAAGAAGUACUGUCAAGCUAGAGACUGGGAGACGUAAGAAGUACGAUCAAAGUAGCGGUUAAAUGUGUUAAUCUUGAUUGGACUUACAAUAGCGAAGGCAUCUUACGAGAACAGUUCUGACAGUCAGGGAUGAAGGCUAGGGGCGCAAAACGGAUUAGAUACCCCUGUAGUC
rnacentral:rRNA from 1 species